UACGUAGGAUCCAAGCGUUGUCCGGAAUUACUGGGUGUAAAGGGUGCGCAGGCGGACUUGUGCGUCAGAGGUUAAAGGCCACGGCUCAACCGUGGAAAUGCCUUUGAUACGGCAAGUCUUGAGUACGAGAGAGGAUGGUGGAAUUCUUGGUGUAGCGGUGAAAUGCGUAGAUAUCAAGAGGAACACCAGUGGCGAAGGCGGCCAUCUGGCUCGUUACUGACGCUCAGGCACGAAAGCGUGGGGAGCAAACAGG
rnacentral:rRNA from 1 species